GUGGGGAAUAUUGGACAAUGGGCGCAAGCCUGAUCCAGCCAUGCCGCGUGAGUGAUGAAGGCCCUAGGGUUGUAAAGCUCUUUCACCGGUGAAGAUAAUGACGGUAACCGGAGAAGAAGCCCCGGCUAACUUCGUGCCAGCAGCCGCGGUAAUACGAAGGGGGCUAGCGUUGUUCGGAAUUACUGGGCGUAAAGCGCACGUAGGCGGACAUUUAAGUCAGGGGUGAAAUCCCGGGGCUCAACCCCGGAACUGCCUUUGAUACUGGGUGUCUGGAGUAUGGAAGAGGUAAGUGGAAUUCCGAGUGUAGAGGUGAAAUUCGUAGAUAUUCGGAGGAACACCAGUGGCGAAGGCGGCUUACUGGUCCAUUACUGACGCUGAGGUGCGAAAGCGUGGGGAGCAAACAGGAUUAGAAACCCCAGUAGUCC
rnacentral:rRNA from 1 species